rnacentral:rRNA from 1 species
AAUCAACGCUGGCGGCGUGCCUAACACAUGCAAGUCGAGCGCGAAAGGGGAGUAAUCCCCAAGUAGAGCGGCGAACGGGUGAGUAACGCGUGGGUGAUCUACCUCCGAGUGGGGAAUAACCCCGGGAAACUGGGGCUAAUACCGCAUGACAUCCCUGAGUCACAUCGGGGAUCAAAGCCGGGGACCGCAAGGCCUGGCGUUUGGAGAUGAGCCCGCGUCCGAUUAGCUAGUUGGCGGGGUAACGGCCCACCAAGGCUUCGAUCGGUAGCCGGCCUGAGAGGGCGGACGGCCACACUGGGACUGAGACACGGCCCAGACUCCUACGGGAGGCAGCAGUGGGGAAUUUUUCGCAAUGGGGGAAACCCUGACGAAGCAACGCCGCGUGGAGGAUGAAGGCC